GAGGGAGCGGCCGAGGCGAGCGGGGCGGCGCCUGCGGAACCACCUCGGCAGCGCGGCGCGGCCUGGCCCCUCUCGGCGCCGCCGCCAUCGGGCGACGGGAGGGGAGGGCGCCGGGGCGCCUCCCCGGCAGCCAUGAGGGCUUCCAGCUGAUCUGCGGCACAAGGGUGUGUGAAAGGAUCGCUGUAAAUGGGAGGUCUCGGGUGGCAAAAGAGCUGUCUGGAAGAUACAGCCCUCAGGUAAAGGGUCCUCACCGGUGGCCUUCGUUUAUGAAAACCCCCAAGUUUUUCAGGGAGUGGAAGCAGCCAGAUGAGGCGCCUUCUGGAGGGGAAUACCGCUCCGGUAGCGUGACCUGUGCCUGCGGAGAGGAGAGGCAAAUAGUUCGCAUGUUUUACUGCAGGUGGGGCCUUGCUGGAGAAGCAGUAUAGUUGUCAGAAGAGAACUAAGUUGUUGCUGCUGCUUUGAAGAUCCCCACUUGAGAGACUGGGAAGAUGGAAACUUCCACAACUGAAAUGAAACUACUGGAGAAGUAGUUGUUUUCAUGAUCUGUAUCUAGUAUCAGAUCAGAGAUGGUUGGGAGCAAGUUAUAACAAGAAUUACAUAUACAAUUUGUUAAUACCCUCCCACUGCUUGUUAAAAAUUAUAUAUUUUUAAUUAGACCUAUUUAUUAAACUUAUUUAUCUUUAAACUUG